rnacentral:rRNA from 1 species
AACAAUACAAGGCAGUUAAAAUGCUUUGUAAUUGGAAUGAUAGAAAUUUAAACCCUUUUUAAAGUAUCAAUUGGAGGGCAAGUCUGGUGCCAGCAGCCGCGGUAAUUCCAGCUCCAAUAGCGUAUAUUAAAAUUGUUGCAGUUAAAAAGCUCGUAGUUGAAGUUCUGCUGAAAGUAACCGGUCUGCUUUUAAUAAAAGUGGUAUCUUGGUAUGUAUUUAGCAAUGAUGUCCUUUGAAGUGUUUUUUACUUUAUUGUAAUAAAGCAUAUUCAGGACUUUUACUUUGAGAAAAUUAGAGUGUUUCUAGCAGGCUAACGCUUUGAAUACUGCAGCAUGGAAUAAUAAGAUAGGAUUUUAGUUCUACAUUAUUGGUUUUAAGAGCUAAAUUAAUGAUUGAUAGGGACAGUUGGGGGCAUUUGUAUUUAACUGUCAGAGGUGAAAUUCUUAGAUUUGUUAAAGACAAACUACUGCGAAAGCAUUUGCCAAAGAUGUUUUCAUUAAUCAAGAACGAAAGUUAGGGGAUCGAAGACGAUCAGAUACCGUCGUAGUUCUUAACUAUAAACUAUGCCGACUAGAGAUUGGAGGUCGUCUUUAUAAAC